rnacentral:lncRNA from 1 species
CCCCUCCCCCGGCGCCCCCGCCCCGGCCGCGCGGCCCCCAACUGCCGCCCGCCCGCCGGCAGGGAGCGGCUCCCAUCGCCGCCCAGGCGUUAGCGAAAAUCGCGCGCACAGAGAGGAGCUUUCUCCUCUGCUAAAAAUAGGCUAUAAAGGAGUCGGCCUCAUGAUGGCUCCUUGAUUCAAUUUGCUGCAAAUUCUUUCCUGAAAGCCUUCCCCGCCUCACAUCCACACGCACAAAAAGGGGGGUGUCGAGGCACGAAGGGCGCGAGAGGGGGAGCAGGCCGAGGUGCACAUUUUCGGGAGACAACAACAACAUAAUUAGGGUGAAUGCUUUGAAAAGUGGCCAAAAGCAAAGAGAAGACAAGAGUCCCUCAAGGUUGAGGAAGAUGGUGGUCUUUGGCUUCUCUCCAAGUAGUGGCACACUUGCUCAGCCCCUGUGAGAGAAGGAGAGGAGUCACUUUGUGGUGUGCCUAGAGAGGCUGGAUAUUACACUCUGGAGCUCUCAGCCCUGGCAAAGACGCCUGUGCCGAGCUUGGCAGGAGUCAGCAGAGCUGCCUGACCUUAAGUGAUCCGAAGAGCUUGGAUGCUGAGCACAUGCAUGGUGAUUAGUAUGAACUGAAAACAAGCGGACUCCAUCUAAGUGACAUGCUCUGGCAGCUGCAUCCAAGGGGGAAGUUUGCCAUGGAAACACAGGAAGUAUCAGAGCUGGGCAACAAGGGAAGCUUUUCUUAUAG